rnacentral:rRNA from 1 species
CCUACGGGGGGCAGCAGUGAGGAAUAGUGGUCAAUGGACGAGAGUCUGAACCAGCCAAGUAGCGUGAAGGAUGACUGCCCUAUGGGUUGUAAACUUCUUUUAUAGGGGAAUAAAACGUAACACGAGAGGGAUUUUGUAUGUACCAUAUGAAUAAGGAUCGGCUAACUCCGUGCCAGCAGCCGCGGUAAUACGGAGGAUCCGAGCGUUAUCCGGCUUUAUUGGGUUUAAAGGGAGCGUAGGUGGAUUGUUAAGUCAGUUGUGAAAGUUUGCGGCUCAACCGGAAAAUUGCAGUUGAAACGGGCAGUCUUGAUUACAGUCGCGGUGGGCGGUAUUCGUGGUGUAGCGGUGACAUGCUUCGCUCUCACG